rnacentral:rRNA from 1 species
UAGUUUGAUCCUGGCUCAGGACGAACGCUGGCGGCGCGCUUAACACAUGCAAGUCGAGCGAGAACCGGUCCUUCGGGGCCGGGGACAGCGGCGAACGGGUGAGUAACACGUGGGUAAUCUGCCCUCGGCAUCGGGAUAGCCCGGGGAAACCCGGAUUAAUACCGGAUGGCCCUUCCGCUUUUCGGGGCGGUAGGAAAAGGUAGCUUCGGCCUCUGGCCGAGGAGGAGCCCGCGGCGGAUUAGCUUGUUGGUGGGGUAACGGCUCACCAAGGCGACGAUCCGUAGCUGGUCUGAGAGGACGAUCACCCACACUGGGACUGAGACACGGCCCACACUCCUACGGGAGGCAGCAGUGGGGAAUCUUGCCCAAUGGGCGAAAGCCUGAGGCAGCGACGCCGCGUGCGGGAAGAAGGCCUUCGGGUUGUAAACCGCUUUCAGGAGGGACGAACCCACUCGGGUUAAUAGCCCAGAGGGUGACGGUACCUCCAGAAGAAGCCCCGGCUAACUACGUGCCAGCAGCCGCGGUAAUACGUAGGGGGCAAGCGUUGUCCGGAUUUAUUGGGCGUAAAGAGCGUGUAGGCGGCUUUGCAGGUCCGCUGUGAAAACUCGAGGCUUAACCUCGAGACGUCGGUGGAAACCGCAUGGCUAGAGUCCGGAAGAGGAGAGUGGAAUUCCUGGUGUAGCGGUGAAAUGC